AGCGAACGCUGGCGGCAGGCCUAACACAUGCAAGUCGAACGGGCUCUUCGGAGCUAGUGGCGGACGGGUGAGUAACACGUGGGAACGUGCCUUUAGGUUCGGAAUAAGCCCGGGAAACUGGGUCUAAUACCGAAUGUGCCCUUCGGGGGAAAGAUUUAUCGCCUUUAGAGCGGCCCGCGUCUGAUUAGCUUGUUGGUGAGGUAAUGGCUCACCAAGGCGACGAUCAGUAGCUGGUCUGAGAGGAUGACCAGCCACAUUGGGACUGAGACACGGCCCAAACUCCUACGGGAGGCAGCAGUGGGGAAUCUUGCGCAAUGGGCGAAAGCCUGACGCAGCCAUGCCGCGUGGAUGAUGAAGGUCUUAGGAUUGUAAAAUCCUUUCACCGGUGAAGAUAAUGACUGUAGCCGGAGAAGAAGCCCCGGCUAACUUCGUGCUAGCCGCCGCGGUAACAC
rnacentral:rRNA from 1 species